UUUCAUAGGAAAAGGAAAAGUGCCCCCAGAUGAGGCUGUGAGCUCCACAGUGCCCAAAUCAAGGAGAGUUGUGAAAAGGCCAUGGAGCCAAAUGGAAGUGAAUGCCGUAAUGAAACAUUUCAAAGCACAUAUUUUAAAGGGACACCUCGCCACAAAGGCAGAAUGUGAGCAGUGCAAGAAUGCAGAAGACCCUGUCCUAGGAGAAAGAACUGUGCAAAAUAUAAGGGAUUUCGUGAGGAAUCGAGGUUUGAUGUUUAAAAAGAAAUGCUCUUAGAAAGAUCAGUACCAUUCCGUUAAGGUCUGUGGCUUUUGUUCAAGAUUUGAGUGGAUGACCCUGUUUUUGUUCAAAACAUACGGUUAUAUAUUAAGUAAGACAUUUAUUGACGUGUACACAUUUUGUUGUGUUAGUGUGUAUGUUAGUAAUGUGCUGAUGAAUCCAGAUUGUCCUCACUGUUCAGGUUUGAUCAGGUGUGUGUGUGUGUGAAUGAUGUCCUGAUGAAUCCAGAUUGUCCUCACUGUUCAGGUUUGAUCAGGUGUGUGUGAAUGAUGUCCUGAUGAAUCCAGAUUGUCCUCACUGUUCAGGUUUGAUCAGGUGUGUAUGUGUAUGUGAAUGAUGUCCUGAUGAAUCCAGAUUGUCCUCGCAUUCCAG